CAGGACGAACGCUGGAGGUGUGCCUAAUACAUGCAAGUCGAACGGGAGCCCUUUUUUGAAGCUUCGGCAGAUAAAAAGAUCAGCUCUAGUGGCGAACGGGUGCGUAACACGUAAAUAACCUGCCCUUUAGACUGGGAUAACCCCGGGAAACCGGAGCUAAUACCAGAUGUCCUUCUCAUUCGCAUGUUUGAGAAAAAAAUCCCGCAAGGGGCUAAAGGAGGGAUUUGCGGCCGAUUAGUUUGUUGGUAAGGCAACGGCUUACCAAGACUACGAUCGGUAGCUGGUCUGAGAGGACGAUCAGCCACACUGGGACUGAGACACGGCCCAGACUCCUACGGGAGGCAGCAGUAGGGAAUAUUGCGCAAUGCACGCAAGUGUGACGCAGCGACACCUCGUGAACGACGACGUCCUUAGGGAUGUAAAGUUCUGUCAGCAGGGAAGAUAAUGACGGUACCUGCAGAGGAAGCCCCGGCUAACUACGUGCCAGCAGCCGCGGUAAUACGUAGGGGGCAAGCGUUGUCCGGAUUUACUGGGCGUAAAGCGCAUGUAGGCGGCUACAUAAGUCAGGUGUUAAAGGCAGCGGCUCAACCGUUGUACGCGCUUGAAACUGUGUGGCUAGAGUACAGGAGAGGAAAAUGGAACGCAUAAUGUAGCGGUGAAAUGCGUAGAUAUUAUGCGGAACACCAGUGGCGAAGGCGAUUUUCUGGACUGUAACUGACGCUGAGAUGCGAAAGCGUGGGGAGCGAACAGGAUUAGAUACCCUGGUAGUCCACGCUGUAAACGAUGUUCAUUAGGUGUGGGAGGUAUUUGACCCCUUCCGUGCCGAAGCUAACGCAUUAAAUGAACCGCCUGGGGAGUACGGUCGCAAGAUUAAAACUCAAAGGAAUUGACGGGGGCCCGCACAAGCAGUGGAACAUGUGGUUUAAUUCGACGAUACACGAAGAACCUCACCUAGGCUUGACAUCCUUGGAAUCCUCUAGAGAUAGAGGAGUGCCUUCGGGAGCCGAGUGACAGGUGGUGCAUGGUUGUCGUCAGCUCGUGCCGUGAGGUGUUGGGUUAAGUCCCGCAACGAGCGCAACCCUCGUCCUAUGUUGCCAGCACUUCGGGUGGGAACUCAUAGGAGACUGCCCCGGAUAACGGGGAGGAAGGUGAGGAUGACGUCAAAUCAUCAUGCCCCUUACGCCUAGGGCUACACACAUGUUACAAUGGGUGGUACAACGGGUAGCUAAGCAGCAAUGUGGAGCUAAUCCUUCAAAACCACCCCCAGUUCGAAUUGCAGGCUGCAACUCGCCCGCAUGAAGCCGGAAUUGCUAGUAAACGUGGAUCAGCUAUGCCGCGUUGAAUACGUUCCCGGGCCUUGUACACGCCGCCCGUCACAUCAUGAAAGUCGGAUACA
rnacentral:rRNA from 1 species